UUCAGUUUAAAUUUUUUAACAGUGAAAGCAGUACAGGGAAAAUCAAAAAUCUAUAAAAGAUAAUUUAUGAGUGGAAUUUGAAUUUUCGAAACCUAUGGAUAUUAGCGGAAAGACUUGAAGAUCUACCCCGACUUUCAUUGUGUUUCAUAUAUAUUGCCAUACACACAAAUCACUCAUUUGACAUAUUCAUUUUAUUCCCGAAUUUUCAAUGAAAUAAAAACGGAGCAUCCAAAGGAAAAUUUAGAAAGUGAUUCUGAUGACGAUCUUGAAUUUACCACAACGGAGGAAAUGGACCAAAUUCAAAUAGGAGAUAAAGUUGUGUAAGUGAAUAUAAUGCCUCUUAUAACCCUCUAUACACAAACAAAAACGUCAAAAUUUAUUCCUUCUUUCCAUUUUCCUUUUCCGAAUGAAACUUUGGAAAUAUCUGAAUUUCAUUUUUUCAUUUCAAAUCAUAAAUAUACUUGAGUUGAACAUCUUUUUCUAUUAAUAAUGAUCGACGUAGAAAAACUGAGGAAAGGAGGGAAGGGGUGCAACUAGGGGCUGUCAGGGUGAGGGGAGUUGCCGACAAUUUCAUGGUCAUCCUAUAACAACGAUUCAGAAAUUUUCCUUUCAGUGAGAUCGUGGGAUACGUAAGCGGAAUUGAGGCACAUCGAUACGCAAAAGGAAAUAAAUUAGUUCAAUCGUUCACAGUUUCAACUGAAGAUGAUGAGAGAUCUAUCAAAGUAGUUGCGUGGAACGACGUAGUUACACGAGUAAAAUCUGUGCUCUGUAUCAACAACGUCGUUCAUAUCAAUGGAGCACACGCAACAAAAACUGAUGCAAACACAAUACUGGUAACAUGCCUAUACAAUUAAUCCUUCAAUCAAACAUGGAAGUGAAGAAAAUAAAAACUUAUCAGCCAAAACCCCGAAAGAUUGGAACAAUCAGCAUCGCAGAUUUGACCAGAGAACCUAAAGAGCUUAUAAAGAUUUCAGGAUAUAUAAAAACAAAUUUUGCGAUUUCCAAGAAUCAACAAAAUCCCAUGUUUAAUACCUGUAUCGGAGCAAUAGCCGAAAAUACUA